rnacentral:lncRNA from 1 species
CAAUUGGCCAGCAUCUAGAGUCACCUAGGAGACAAGCCUCUGGGAAUGUUGAUGAGGAUGUUUACAUAUUGGAUCAACUGAGAUGAAAAGAAUCAUCCCAGCUGCGGGCAGCACCAAUCCUCAAAUCCUGUGGGUUAGAGUUCCAGAAUGAACGAAGAGGAAAACAAUGAGAAAACAGGCUCAAAGUGGGGAAGUGACUUGCCCAGGAUUGCACAGUUCAGCUUGUAUUCAGAAUAGUCAGAGGCACAGAACCCAGAGAACAAAAUGCCAGCUUGUUACAGACAGGGCUGCUUGGGGAACAUAGCUUAGGCCGGCAGAGCUGAUCCCUGUGGUGCUGAAAACAGACAUCUAUAAGCCCAGCCCUCCCCUGAAGCUUGUCAGGGCUGUCUUCAGGGAGGAUUAGGAGUCCAUCCUGGAUUGGUCCGUG